rnacentral:rRNA from 1 species
AGCGAACGCUGGCGGCAGGCCUAACACAUGCAAGUCGAACGGAUCCUUCGGGAUUAGUGGCGGACGGGUGAGUAACACGUGGGAACGUGCCCUUUGGUUCGGAACAACUCAGGGAAACUUGAGCUAAUACCGGAUGUGCCCUUCGGGGGAAAGAUUUAUCGCCAUUGGAGCGGCCCGCGUCUGAUCAGCUAGUUGGUGAGGUAAAGGCUCACCAAGGCGACGAUCAGUAGCUGGUCUGAGAGGAUGAUCAGCCACAUUGGGACUGAGACACGGCCCAAACUCCUACGGGAGGCAGCAGUGGGGAAUCUUGCGCAAUGGGCGAAAGCCUGACGCAGCCAUGCCGCGUGAAUGAUGAAGGUCUUAGGAUUGUAAAAUUCUUUCACCGGGGACGAUAAUGACGGUACCCGGAGAAGAAGCCCCGGCUAACUUCGUGCCAGCAGCCGCCGUAAUAC